rnacentral:rRNA from 1 species
UAUUGCGCAAUGGAGGAAACUCUGACGCAGUGACGCCGCGUCUAGGAAGAAGGUUUUCGGAUUGUAAACUAUUGUCGUGAGGGAAGAAAUUGACAGUACCUCAGGAGGAAGCUCCGGCUAACUAUGUUCCAGCAGCCGCGGUAAUACAUAGGGAGCAAGCGUUAUCCGGAUUUACUGGGUGUAAAGGGAGCGUAGACGGCUGUGCAAGUCUGAAGUGAAAGCCCGUGGCUCAACCGCGGAACUGCUUUGGAAACUGUAUAGCUUGAGUACUGGAGAGGCAGGCGGAAUUCCUAGUGUAGCGGUGAAAUGCGUAGAUAUUAGGAGGAACACCAGUGGCGAAGGCGGCCUGCUGGACAGAAACUGACGUUGAGGCUCGAAAGCGUGGGGAGCAAACAGG